rnacentral:misc_RNA from 1 species
AGGACAUCAAGCCAGGCUUGGUCUUGGGCGCGGUCUGACCGACCCGCCUGUAACUGUUAGCGGCAACCGUUUGGUCCUUAGGCGUAGCAAAAACUAUUCGUCUCUAGGGCCUGCGGGGUGGCUGUCUCAAGACUCUGGCCCUCUGGGCCACUAAA